GUCUACGGCCGUGCCACCCUGAACAAGCCCGAUCCCGUCUGAUCUCGGAAGCUAAGCAGGGUCGAGCUUGGUUAGUACUCAGAUGCGAGACCACCUAGGAAGGCCAGGUGCUGUAGGCA
rnacentral:rRNA from 1 species